AGUCUGACGAAACCAGUCGUAACCCGGAUGCACCAGUUGACACCGUCCCGUCUGCAAGAGACUCAGAAAUAUACACAAAAAUAGAGGAAACCUCUGACCGUCAAGCAAAUUGUAGCCGCACAGGUGAAUCGAGUUUCACCGUUCAGACAACGGAAACAUCACAAUACGAAGAGUUACGCGCGAGAGAAUCAAACACAUACACAGAAUUAGGUAAUGGUUGACAAUGGAAAUAUGUAUAGUCCGAUGUACGAAAACAUUUGCAAGUGAAGACUAUAAAAAGCUGCAUCAGUUUCUUGUUAAUGUUAUUUACC